rnacentral:rRNA from 1 species
AAAGAAACUAACAAGGAUUCCCCUAGUAACUGCGAGUGAAGCGGGAAAAGCUCAAAUUUAAAAUCUGGUGGCCUUUGGUCAUCCGAGUUGUAAUUUAGAGAAGCGUCUUCCGCGCUGGACCGUGCACAAGUCUCCUGGAAUGGAGCGUCAUAGAGGGUGAGAAUCCCGUCUUUGGCACGGACCCCAGGGCUUCUGUGAUGCGCUCUCGAAGAGUCGAGUUGUUUGGGAAUGCAGCUCAAAAUGGGUGGUGAACUCCAUCUAAAGCUAAAUAUUGGCGAGAGACCGAUAGCGAACAAGUACCGUGAGGGAAAGAUGAAAAGCACUUUGGAAAGAGAGUGAAACAGUACGUGAAAUUGUUGAAAGGGAAACGCUUGAAGUCAGUCGCGUCGCCCGAGACUCAGCCUUGCCUUGGCUUGGUGUAUUUCUCGGCUGACGGGUCAGCAUCAAUUUUGCCCCUUGGAUAAUGGCGAGGGAAAUGUGACACCUUUGCGGGUGUGUUAUAGUCCCCUGUCGCAUGCAAGGGUCGGGAUUGAGGAACUCAGCACGCACCUUUUGGUGUCGGGGCCUUUGCCCACGAUACGUGCUUAGGAUGUUGGCGUAAUGGCUUUAACGACCCGUCUG